AUAGUCAACACUGAUAAGAGGAGGUCUGAACAAAGUCUGGACCUGAAUGUGUAAUUUUGAAGAAGAAGAAAUAGGAGUUGUCAAUGUUUUUGUUUACAAACCGAAAUGACUCUGUGAUAUUUUCAUGCAAGUGCAAUCAGUUAGUUAAAUUUUUAGUAAAUAAGUUGAUGCCUGAAGAAGCUCUAAAUAAACAGAGCGAAAUAUUGCACCAAAAUUAAAACUGUCUUUUCAAUCCGCCGCUAUAUCCCAGGUCAACAAGAAAACAUUGUGCGAUCACGGCAAAGUAAAUUGAAAACAUUUAAAAUUAAAAAAUGGUUCUCGGACGCCAUAACUGUCAAGUUAGUGAAGUUAUUGGUUAUGUGUUGGAUAUGUUUGAGGCUGAGGCAUCCUAUGAAUUGGCAUACAUGUUGAGCUAUAUGCUGGUAUAAAAGGCUCAAGGCUCAAGUUCAAACUGAUCCAUCCACGCAUCGAUCCUCAACUUUACCAUCAUCUUAAGUUUCAUGGACGAUCUACAUCCACACGGCAAAAAACUUUGUUUUACCUUCCGAAGUUCCACCACGACGUGUAUUUCUCACGAUUAAACUUAAUGGAUGACAGGUUUUCUGUUUUUAAGAGCCUAGUGAUGGUUGUUGAUACUGUUUAAUUUUUGCUAUGUUUUUGGUUUAUGAUUUUUCCUAAUGUUUUCUAUUUUUGUAAUUCGCUGAUCGAUAUAUUAUUGGGCUUUGGCCUAUUUGUUGAUCAUU